rnacentral:rRNA from 1 species
UACGUAGGUGGCAAGCGUUGUCCGGAUUUACUGGGUGUAAAGCGAGCGCAGGUGGUUUAUUAAGUCUGGUGUAAAAGGCAGUGGCUCAACCAUUGUAUGCAUUGGAAACUGGUAGACUUGAGUGCAGGAGAGGAGAGUGGAAUUCCAUGUGUAGCGGUGAAAUGCGUAGAUAUAUGGAGGAACACCGGUGGCGAAAGCGGCUCUCUGGCCUGUAACUGACACUGAGGCUCGAAAGCGUGGGGAGCAAACAGG